rnacentral:lncRNA from 1 species
GUUAGAAGUCAGCCUGAGCAAUUCAGUGAAGCCCUAAGCAACUUAGCGAGACUCUAUUUAAAAAUAAAAAAGGACUGGGUAUGUGGCUUGGUGAUAAAACACUCCUGGUAGUAAAGCACACACACAGUCAUGUGCCUGUUAACUCCAUGUUGCACUCCAUGUGACUUUGCAGACUCUAUGUUGCAAGGGAGUCUGGGAAGGCAAAUAUCUGGCAAUUUUAGAUUCUGAAAUAGGAAAUAAGUAAACAAACAGGUAAAUAAGGACAAAAAAUACAUUGGUUAAUCCAGAUGUGGUGGCACACAUCUGUAAUCCCAGCUACUUGGGUGACUGAGGCUGCAGAAUUUCUUGAGCCAAGGAGUUCUAGGUUAGCUUGGGCAAUAUAGUGAGACCCUGUCUCAAAAACAAAAAUAAUCAACAACAAAAAACAUUCACAGACUUCUGGGCUGGAGACCAGACAUGAAGCUAUGCUGCCAAGAAUAGUGCCCAGAACCAGGCUGCAGAACCAGUCUGGUGAGCAUAACUCUGCUUCUGCUGCAAGACCAGGCCACUGAAGCUUGUGUUGCCCCAGCUGCUGAGCCAGAAACUCAGUCAUCACUACCUUCCCUGCUGCAGAGAGUCCCACACAAUCCCUAUUUCUUUG